CAGCCCCCAUUCCUGGCACUUUUAACCUCAAAGGUCGAAGCCAAUUAUUACUAGUCCUGUGUGGGUCAUUUGUCCCUCCCUAAACUCCACCAAGAGAAUGGGUACAGAUGGCAGCCAGAUGCAGAGCCCCCGUCCACCUGUGUUUUCUGAGUGGGUGGAUGUGGGGUAUUGAAGCAGGCCCUUUCCAAAUAGUAGUAGGCUGCUCACAGGCAAAAGAGUUUAUCUCUAAAAGAUGGAAAUGAGGGAGAUUGGGGACCAACACCACAGACACCCACCAGAACUGCCUUUCUGCAAGUUUGUUCCAAUCUAUAUGGAGGAUGGGAGUUUCAUUCAUCCAUUAGAGUUUCACAGAGUAAUAUAUAUAUGUUUUAUACUAAGGAUGAUCCUUACUGGUGCUCCAUAUUUCAAAACUCACGCCAAUCAAUCCUUUUGUACUGACAGGUGCAAGAAGUCGUCUGGCAGGUGUGAUGUGUUGAGCCUCAGGUGUGAGCAGGAAGGAUUUGUGAGUUUGCUUUAUAGGGGAAGAAGCAACAUCAUGUUGCUUGAAAUCAUUGGUAGGAGGUGUUUCAUAUUUUUAAGAGAGGAAAUGUAUUGAUCAAAUAUUCACGGUGAUACAUCACAAUGGUUGAGGUUGGAAGCAUUUCUCUGGUUCUUAUUCUCUGGGUGCUUUUAAGCCAAGAAUUCUCCUUCCAAUCACCUUUGACUCUUUCUAGGUCAGGCCUUCCACUGUUUCCUUGCCCACUCCCCAGCAGGAUUGGGGAACCAUAAUUAUAAUCCAAGAGAUUAAUGAAAAUACCUCCUAAGCAUCUGUCUGGCAUAUUAUUGCUUCUUUUUAGGGAACUGCCUAAUAUUCCCAAUAGCCAUGAUUGUCUGGAGCUCUGCUCACAAUGGUCAAAGACUAGGAAAGAUCCACUUAUAUCUUAUUCCUAAAUUUGAAAUAUGAAGAAUUGGGGAGUCCUGCUCUUCACUGAGUUCCCAGUGGUGUGAAGUGUCUAUUUCCUUACUUCUGGUUCUGUUCCAUUUGGACAUGGCGAUAAAUAAACAUUUUGUAAUUUCAAAAAUCCAUAUUCCCACUAAAUUUAUAGACAAAUACAUUUAAAUAUGAGAUAUAUGAGACUCAAAAAUAAUUUCCUAUGUUGGUGCUG
rnacentral:lncRNA from 1 species